rnacentral:rRNA from 1 species
AUUGAACGCUGGCGGCAGGCCUAACACAUGCAAGUCGAACGAGUGGCGGACGGGUGAGGAAUGUCUGGGAAACUGCCCGAUGGAGGGGGAUAACUACUGGAAACGGUAGCUAAUACCGCAUAUCAUCGCGUGUGCCCAGAUGGGAUUAGCUUGUAGGUGAGGUAACGGAUCACCUAGGCGACGAUCCCUAGCGGGUCUGAGAGGAUGACCAGACACACUGGAACUGAGACACGGUCCAGACUCCUACGGGAGGCAUCAGUGGGGAAUAUUGCACAAUGGGCGCAAGCCUGAUACAGCCAGGCCGCGUGUAUGAAGAAGGCCUUCGGGUUGUAAAGUACUUUCAGCGGGGAGGCGUUACCCGCAGAAGAAGCACCGGCUAACUCCGUGCCAGCCGCCGCGGUAAUAC